rnacentral:rRNA from 1 species
GAUGAACGCUGGCGGCGUGCUUAACACAUGCAAGUCGAACGAUGAAGCCCAGCUUGCUGGGUGGAUUAGUGGCGAACGGGUGAGUAACACGUGAGUAACCUGCCCUUGACUCUGGGAUAAGCCUGGGAAACUGGGUCUAAUACUGGAUAUGACUUCUCAUCGCAUGGUGGGGGGUGGAAAGAUUUAUUGGUCUUGGAUGGACUCGCGGCCUAUCAGCUUGUUGGUGAGGCAAUGGCUCACCAAGGCGACGACGGGUAGCCGGCCUGAGAGGGUGACCGGCCACACUGGGACUGAGACACGGCCCAGACUCCUACGGGAGGCAGCAGUUGGAAUAGUGCACGAUGGGCGCAAGCCUGAUGCAGCGACGCCGCGUGAGGGAUGACGGCCUUCGGGUUGUAAACCUCUUUCAGUAGGGAAGAAGCGAGAGUGACGGUACCUGCAGAAGAAGCGCCGGCUAACUACGUG